rnacentral:rRNA from 1 species
GUAGGUGGCAAGCGUUGUCCGGAAUUAUUGGGGCGUGAAGCGCGCGCAGGUGGUUCUUUAAGUCUGAUGUGAAAGCCCCCGGGCUCAACCGGGGAGGGUCAUUGGAAACUGGGGAACUUGAGUGCAGGAGAGGAAAGUGGAAUUCCACGUGUAGCGGUGAAAUGCGUAGAUAUGUGGAGGAACACCAGUGGCGAAGGCGACUUUCUGGCCUGUAACUGACACUGAGGCGCGAAAGCGUGGGGAGCAAACAGGAUUAGAUACCCUGGUAGUCCACGCCGUAAACGAUGAGUGCUAAGUGUUGGGGGGUUUCCGCCCCUCAGUGCUGCAGCUAACGCAUUAAGCACUCCGCCUGGGGAGUACGGCCGCAAAGACUG